GAUACUUGUUUAUGAUGCGAUGGAGGGACGGAGAAGGUUAUGUCAGCCUGGCGUUGGUUGUCCAGGUGGAAGGAUGUAGGUAGGUUUAGUAGGCAAAUCCGCUAGACUAUUACUGAGAUCUGAUAGCAAGCUAGUUUGACUAGUGAAGUGGCAAAUACCCUGCUUCCAGGAAAAGCUUCUAAGCGAUAGUCAUAAAGAAAUCG
rnacentral:rRNA from 1 species